UUACCGGCUUGACAUGAUGAAAGCCCCUUCGGGGACAGGUGCUGCAUGGCUGUCGUCAGCUCGUGUCGUGAGACGUCGCGUUAAGUCGCUUAACGAGCGCAACCCUGUCUUAGUUGCCAGCAUAUGGGACUCUAAGAGACCGCCGGUGUCAACCGGAGGAAGGUGGGGACGACGUCAAGUCAUCAUGGCCUUUAUGCCGGGCUGCACACGUCAUACAAUGCCGUACAAGGGGCACCGCGAGGGGAGCAAUCUCAAAACGCGCUCAGUUCGGAUUGCAGGCUGCAACUCGCCUGCAUGAAGCUGGAAUCGCUAGUAAUCGCAGUCAGCAUAUGCGGUGAAUAUGUUCCUGAGCCUUGUACACACCGCCCGUCAAGCCACGAAAGCGGGGGGCCAAA
rnacentral:rRNA from 1 species